GAUGAACGCUGGCGGCGUGCCUAAUACAUGCAAGUCGAGCGAACAGACGAGGAGCUUGCUCCUCUGACGUUAGCGGCGGACGGGUGAGUAACACGUGGAUAACCUACCUAUAAGACUGGGAUAACUUCGGGAAACCGGAGCUAGUACCGGAUAAUAUAUUGAACCGCAUGGUUCAAUAGUGAAAGACGGUUUUGCUGUCACUUAUAGAUGGAUCCGCGCCGCAUUAGCUAGUUGGUAAGGUAACGGCUUACCAAGGCAACGAUGCGUAGCCGACCUGAGAGGGUGAUCGGCCACACUGGAACUGAGACACGGUCCAGGCUCCUACGGGAGGCAGCAGUAGGGAAUCUUCCGCAAUGGGCGAAAGCCUGACGGAGCAACGCCGCGUGAGUGAUGAAGGUCUUCGGAUCGUAAAACUCUGUUAUUAGGGAAGAACAAAUGUGUAAGUAACUAUGCACGUCUUGACGGUACCUAAUCAGAAAGCCACGGCUAACUACGUG
rnacentral:rRNA from 1 species